UACGUAGGGUGCAAGCGUUAUCCGGAAUCACUGGGCGUAAAGCGUGCGUAGGCGGAAAUUUAAGUGUGAUGUUAAAUCGUGGGGCUCAACCCUGCCGAUGCAUCGCAUACUGGGUUUCUAGAGGACGGCAGAGGCAAGUGGAACUCGUAGUGUAGCAGUGAAAUGCGUAGAUAUUACGAAGAACACCAAUGGCGAAGGCAACUUGCUGGGCCGCCCCUGACGCUGAGGCACGAAAGCGUGGGGAGCGAACAGG
rnacentral:rRNA from 1 species